rnacentral:rRNA from 1 species
AUGGGGGAAGCUGCUAAACCUCCCUCCGUGACAGUAUUGACACUGGACAGCAACAAUCUGAUAAAAACUAGUAGAUGCAACCAAAUAUCAUCUUCGUCGGAAAUUCACAAAAAUGGCAUAAUAAAUUGGCAUCCCAGUAUCCAGACUUUGGAAUAUUCUGUAGACGAUGAGACAUUGUGCCGCUUCAAUUGGUAUCUGCACAGAUAUUCGCAAAGCGAGGCCACUUGCUGCAGCAAGAGUAGAAAUGACCACCUUCCAGUUCUUCACAGGCCACAGGAACUGAGGAACAGAUCAGUCUUAUAA